UCAGGAUGAACGACUGGCGGCGUGCCUAAUACAUGCAAGUCGAGCGAGAAAUCUUUCAGACAAAUCUUCGGAAGCGUCAGAGAGAUGGAAAGCGGCGGACGGGUGAGUAACGCGUAGGCAACCUGCCCUUAGCAGAGGGAUAGCCAUUGGAAACGAUGAUUAAAACCUCAUAAUGCUGGAGAAGCACAUGCUUCAUCAGCCAAAGAUUUAUCGGCUAAGGAUGGGCCUGCGUCUGAUUAACUAGUUGGUGAGGUAACGGCUCACCAAGGUGACGAUCAGUAGCCGACCUGAGAGGGUGAUCGGCCACAUUGGAACUGAGACACGGUCCAAACUUCUACGGAAGGCAGCAGUAAGGAAUCUUGCACAAUGGGGGAAACCCUGAAUGCAGCAACGCCGCGUGAACGAUGAAGGCCUUAGGGUUGUAAAGUUCUGAUCUGUGGGAAGAAGAAAGUGACGGUACCACAGGAGAAAGCCCCGGCUAAAUACGUGCCAGCCGCGGC
rnacentral:rRNA from 1 species